AGAGUUUGAUCAUGGCUCAGGAUGAACGCUAGCGGCAGGCUUAAUACAUGCAAGUCGAGGGGCAACAGGGGUAGCAAUACCUGCUGGCGACCGGCAAACGGGUGCGGAACACGUACAGAACCUUCCCUUAAGCGGGGGAUAGCCCAGAGAAAUUUGGAUUAAUACCCCAUAGUAAUGUUUAAUGGCAUCAUUAUACAUUUAAAGAUUUAUCACUUAAGGAUGGCUGUGCGGCUGAUUAGGUAGUUGGUAUGGGUAACGGCCUACCAAGCCUUCGAUCAGUAACUGGUGUGAGAGCACGACCAGUCACACGGGCACUGAGACACGGGCCCGACUCCUACGGGAGGCAGCAGUAAGGAAUAUUGGUCAAUGGACGCAAGUCUGAACCAGCCAUGCCGCGUGAAGGAUAAAGGCCCUCUGGGUUGUAAACUUCUUUUAUCUGGGAAGAAAUGCCUGUUUUUUAACGGGUUUGACGGUACCAGAGGAAUAAGCACCGGCUAACUCCGUGCCAGCAGCCGCGGUAAUACGGAGGGUGCAAGCGUUAUCCGGAUUCACUGGGUUUAAAGGGUGCGUAGGUGGGAAUGUAAGUCAGUGGUGAAAUCUCCGUGCUUAACAUGGAAACUGCCAUUGAUACUAUGUUUCUUGAAUCUUCCGGAGGUCAGCGGAAUAUGUCUGUAGCGGUGAAAUGCUUAGAUAUGACAUAGAACACCAAUUGCGAAGGCAGCUGACUACAGGGGCAUUGACACUGAGGCACGAAAGCGUGGGGAUCAAACAGGAUUAGAUACCCUAGUAGUCC
rnacentral:rRNA from 1 species